rnacentral:rRNA from 1 species
UGCGUAGGUGGUCGGGUAAGUUUAAGGUGAAAGCUCCGGGCUCAACCCGGAAAUGGCCUUGAAUACUAUCCGGCUCGAGGGUUGGAGGGGGGACUGGAAUUCUCGGUGUAGCAGUGAAAUGCGUAGAUAUCGAGAGGAACACCAGUGGCGAAGGCGAGUCCCUGGACAACACCUGACACUGAGGCACGAAAGCUAGGGGAGCAAACG